UAAACUACGAUUAGAUACCCUAUUAUUUUAAAUGUUAAAUAUAAGUACUUGAGUAGUAAUAGUUAUAUUCUUGAAACUCAAAGAAUUUGGCGGUGUUUUAGUCCUUUCAGAGGAACCUGUCCCAUAAUCGAUAGUCCACGUUAUACCUUACUUAAUUUAGUGAUCAGCUUGUAUACCGCCGUCGUCAGAAUGUCCUUAGAGGGAAUAAAUUUUCUUGAAUUUAAAUUAGAAAUGAUGUCAGGUCAAGGUGCAGUUAAUGGUUAAGUGGUGAUGGGUUACAAUAAAUGUAUUUAUUAUGGAUGAUGACUUGAAAUAGUUGUUUGAAGGUGGAUUUGAUGGUAAUUGUAUUAAGGUUGUUUAAUUGAUUUUGGCUCUAAAACAUGCACACAUCGCCCGUCGCUCUUA
rnacentral:rRNA from 1 species